AAAAGCCCUGCUAAAAAUGUCUCAAACUCUGUCCGCAGCUUCUCAGUUUCAGGCACACCUGGUGCCAUGCUCAAAGUUUUCUUUGCCAUAAUGUUGAAGGUAAACUGCAUAUACUUUCUCCAUUAGCUCAGUCCUUCAAUAAAAUUUUGUUUGUGCCCAAUGCAACUAAGCAAAUAUAGGGAGUAAUUGUUAGAUUUCCAGUGUUACCUUCAUUGAUUCAUCUUUAGCAUGUAUAACAGAAUUAUUCUCCCAAGAGCUGAUGAGAAUCGUGGCAAUCUGUUCAGCAUCCGGCAAAAUCCAUGAUUCAAGCCUCCUGCUGCAGAAGAAGUUGAGGAAGAUAGACCUCUGGAACCUGUGGGCAUCUCCUUGUGCUAC
rnacentral:lncRNA from 1 species